UCAUGAUGGAUGGCUUUGGUAUGAUGCUAGCUUGGGAGAUCCCACUCCAUCGGAUCAACAAAUUACCAUGGUGGCAGAAAAUAAAAAACAAUGUUAAAUAGCUAUUUGGAAUGCAAGAUGAAAAUCGAGGACACGUCGAUGCAACUUCCGGAGUAUCUUGUUGAUGCAAGCCUCUCCUCUCUCCCCCUCGACUGGAUGCGGGCCGCCGGUCGCGUGCGUCGCCGUGCGAAGAGCAGGUGGGAGCAUGUUAUCUAUGUGAGGUCUCCUCUCACUCUCUCAGAUACACAUGGAGGUACCAGGAAAAGCUUUUGAUAUGCGCAUGAACCUCAUUUUUAUCCGCGCUCCCUUCUAAGGAGUCCCCAGUUCAGAACAAAAUGAAGGAAUGAAAAAGCAUGGCCGCUGACUUUCGUAACGCUCAGAGAGUUGUGGUUGGUAACAUCGCAGGAAAGGCAACAAGGACAUGCUGAUUUCUAGAUCGGACAUCCUACUUAAGUAGCCGAGCAAGUGGUGUUGCAAAGGAAUCGGUGAUCAGGACUUUGCUAUGGUCUGCGGCUGCGUGCCUGAGAAAAGGCCAUGGCUCUGGUUAUUGUAUUAUUUUUGUUUUGUUAGCGUGCUAAUUGGCUUGAAAAGGACA